GGCUGGAGCAGGUCCCAAGGGUAUGGCUGUUCGCCAUUUAAAGCGGUACGUGAGUUGGGUUCAGAACGUCGUGAGACAGUUCGGUCCCUAUCUGCCGUGGGUGUAGGAAUAUUGAUAGGAUCUGUCCCUAGUACGAGAGGACCGGGAUGGACGUAUCUCUGGUGGACCUGUUGUCGUGCCAACGGCAUAGCAGGGUAGCUAUAUACGGACGGGAUAACCGCUGAAGGCAUCUAAGCGGGAAACCCACCUAAAAACGAGUAUUCCCUAUCAGAGCCGUGGAAGACCACCACGUUGAUAGGCCGGGUGUGGAAGUGCGGCAACGCAUGCAGCUUACCGGUACUAAUAGCUCGAUCGACUUGAUCACUCCCAUUU
rnacentral:rRNA from 1 species